AUACCGGAUAAUAUUUUGAACCGCAUGGUUCAAAAGUGAAAGACGGUCUUGCUGUCACUUAUAGAUGGAUCCGCGCUGCAUUAGCUAGUUGGUAAGGUAACGGCUUACCAAGGCAACGAUGCAUAGCCGACCUGAGAGGGUGAUCGGCCACACUGGAACUGAGACACGGUCCAGACUCCUACGGGAGGCAGCAGUAGGGAAUCUUCCGCAAUGGGCGAAAGCCUGACGGAGCAACGCCGCGUGAGUGAUGAAGGUCUUCGGAUCGUAAAACUCUGUUAUUAGGGAAGAACAUAUGUGUAAGUAACUGUGCACAUCUUGACGGUACCUAAUCAGAAAGCCACGGCUAACUACGUGCCAGCAGCCGCGGUAAUACGUAGGUGGCAAGCGUUAUCCGGAAUUAUUGGGCGUAAAGCGC
rnacentral:rRNA from 1 species